CAGACCUCUGAUCAAGGAAAA
rnacentral:rRNA from 1 species